GACGAACGCUGGCGGCGUGCUUAACACAUGCAAGUCGAACGGAAAGGCCCUGCUUUUUUGUGGUGCUCGAGUGGCGAACGGGUGAGUAACACGUGAGUAACCUGCCCUUGACUUUGGGAUAACUUCAGGAAACUGGGGCUAAUACCGGAUAGGAGCUCCUGCUGCAUGGUGGGGGUUGGAAAGUUUCGGCGGUUGGGGCUGGACUGGGGGCUUAUCAGCUUGUUGGUGGGGUAGUGGCUUACCCAGGCUUUGACGGGUAGCCGGCAUGGGAGGGGGAACAGGCUCAAGGGGACUGAGGUAGGGCGCAGAGUGGUACGGGGGGCAGCAGGGGGGAGUCUGGCACAACGGGCGGGAGCCUGAGGAAGCAACGCCGCGUGUGGGAUGACGGCCUUCUGGUGGUAAACCGCUUUAGGCUGUGACGAAGCGUGAGUGACGGUAAUGAGUAAAGAAGCACCGGCUAACUACGUG
rnacentral:rRNA from 1 species